AAUCAGCUUCCUAAAGUUUAUUCAAAAGAAGUAUUUUUUUCUUGCAGAACAAAACGUUCAGAGAAAGACAAGUUGCUGGCAUUGGCUCAACACAUCAAGAAUGUCAGGGUCUAGGUUUCUUGGACUUUUCCUCGUUGAUAAAACAUAGCUGCUACAUCUCCAGUCCUCUCAUCUGUGAUCCAGGGAGGAAGGCCAGGUACAGGAUGGGCAGGUACACUUUAGGACAGGUUUACGGGAAAAAUUAAAUGCACAGAGCACACUUACCCAAUUUGUGAAUCAUACGCAAAACAGAAAGCCACAUGGUGUGGAGAACCUCCAUGCCUGCCUUUUAGCAGAUGUUCCUGGGGAAUGCCAAUACAACCCAGGAUUCCUUGGAAAGUGGAAAAAAUGAUGUAUCUCCUACAGCCUCUUCAUUCUUCAAAAUGAACAUGAGAAUCAAUACACCAAUCAAGAACAAAGGUUCUUGGACAGACUUGCAUCUAAAUUCCAACUCUACUAUUAAAAACCAUGGUACUUUAACCUAAAUGUAAGACAGGAAGCCAUCAAAAUCCUCGAGGAGAAAGCAGGAAAAAACCUCUUUGAUCUUGGCCGCAGCAACUUCUUACUCAACACGUCUCCAGAGGCAAGAGAAACAAAAGCAAAAAUGAACUAUUGGGACCUUACCAAAAUAGAGCUUCUGCACAGCAAAGGAAACAAUCAGCAAAACUAAAAGGCAACCGAUGGAAUGGUAGAGAUAUUUGCAAACGACCUAUCAGAUAAAGGGUUAAUAUCCAAAAUCUACAGAGAACUUAUCAAACUCAACACCCAAAAAACAAAUAAUCCAGUCAAGAAAUGGGCAGAAAUGGACAUCAAUAGACACUUCUCCAAAGAACACAUCCAGAUGGCCAACCAACACAUGAAAAAAUGCUCCACAUCACUCAUCAUCAGGGAAAUACAAAUCAAAACCACAAUGAGAUAUCACCUCACACCUGUCAGAAUGGCUAACAUUAACAACUCAGGCAACAACAGAUGCUGGUAAAGAUGUGGAGAAAGACUAUCUCUUUUGCACUGCUGGUGGGAAUGCAAAUAGGUGCAGCCACUGUGGCAAACAGUAUAGAGGUUCCUCAAAAAACUAAAAACAGAACUACCCUACGACCCAGCAAUUGCACUACUAGGUAUUUAUCCAAGGGAUACAGGUAUGUUGUUUUGAAGGGACACAUGCACCCCAAUGAUAGCAGCACUAUCAACAAUAGCCAAAGUAUGGAAAGACCCCAAAUGUCCAUUGAUGGAUGAAUGGAUAAAGAAGAUGUGGUAUAUAUAUACAAUGGAGUAUUACUCAGCAAUCAAAAAGAAUGAAAUCUUGCCAUUUGCAACUACGUGGAUGGAACUAGAGGGUAUUCUGCUAAGCAAAAUUAGAGAAAGACAAAUAUCGUAUGACCUUACUUAUAUGAGGACUUUAAGACCUGUAACACAUGAACACAAGGGAAGGGAAGCAAAAAGAAUAUAAAAACAGGGAGGGAGACAAAACAUAAGAGACUCUUAAAUAUGGAGAAUAGAGGGUUACUGGAGGGGUUGUGGGAGGGGGAU